AAAGUUUGAUUCUAGCUUUAAAGUUUAUUCUGCCAAAAACACACAUGCAAGCUACCCUAACCCGAGAGUUCUCAUACAAUUUAAUACUAACUGUCUAAAAUUAAAUUAUUAGCAUUUUAUAAAAAUCUCUCGUCUGCAGUGAUAAGCCCUUUUCUAAUUAAUAACUUAAGUAAAGGUUAUUGGCUUUAGGGUAGGCAAAAUCUGUGCCAGCAGCCGCGGUUAUACAGAACACCCAACUAAACUAAUCCGGACCACGAGUCUAGAUACAAAAUAUCAUGAAUGAGGUUUAAUUCUUCAUAUCUCUCAACCCCCUAUAUCCCUUAUUCUCGAAAGCUAAGAACUAAACAAGGAUUAGAUACCCUUUUAUUCUUAGCCUUAAAUGCCCGGGCACUACGAGCACAUGCUUAAAACCCAAAGACCUUGGCGGCACCUUAACCUCUCAGGGGAACCUGUGGCUUAAUCCGAUAAUCCACGAACCUCACCACUCUUCUUUGCUCUAUCAGCUUGUGUACUGCCGUCGUCAGUUUACCUUAAAAGAGAAAGUAAACCAUCAGAGACCCCCUCACUACGUCAGGUCAUAGUGCAGCCUAUAGAAGAGCGCCACAUGGGUUACAACCUAAAUUAGGAUCACGGCUUAAACCUUAAACCAGUUAACAAGGCGGACUUGAAAGUAAACCUAAAAAAUAUUGAAUAAGGCAACCUAAGGUGUGCACAAAUCGCCCGUCACUCUCGCCGAAAGGAGAGAUAAGUCGUAACAUAGUAGGCGUAAUGGAAAUUGUGCCU
rnacentral:rRNA from 1 species